rnacentral:rRNA from 1 species
GUGGGGAAUAUUGGACAAUGGGCGAAAGCCUGAUCCAGCCAUGCCGCGUGUGUGAAGAAGGUCUUCGGAUUGUAAAGCACUUUAAGUUGGGAGGAAGGGCAGUAAGUUAAUACCUUGCUGUUUUGACGUUACCGACAGAAUAAGCACCGGCUAACUUCGUGCCAGCAGCCGCGGUAAUACGAAGGGUGCAAGCGUUAAUCGGAAUUACUGGGCGUAAAGCGCGCGUAGGUGGUUUUGUAAGUUGGAGGUGAAAUCCCCGGGCUCAACCUGGGAACUGCCUCCAAAACUGGAUGACUAGAGUACGGUAGAAGGUAGUGGAAUUUCCUGUGUAGCGGUGAAAUGCGUAGAUAUAGGAAGGAACACCAGUGGCGAAGGCGACUACCUGGACUGAUACUGACACUGAGGUGCGAAAGCGUGGGGAGCAAACAGGAUUAGAUACCCCAGUAGUCC